rnacentral:tRNA from 1 species
GGUCUUGUAGUCGAAAUUUAAGGCGUCAGGCUGCAAUCCUGAAGAUGUAUAAUAAACCUUGGCCU